rnacentral:rRNA from 1 species
GAUGAACGCUGGCGGCGUGCUUAACACAUGCAAGUCGAACGGUGAAAGCGGAGCUUGCUCUGCUGGAUCAGUGGCGAACGGGUGAGUAACACGUGAGCAAUCUGCCCCUGACUCUGGUAUAAGCGCUGGAAACGGCGUCUAAUACCGGAUACGAGCUGCGAAGGCAUCUUCAGCAGCUGGAAAGAACUUCGGUCAGGGAUGAGCUCGCGGCCUAUCAGCUAGUUGGUGAGGUAACGUCUCACCAAGGCGUCGACGGAUAGCCGGCCUGAGAGGGUGCCCGGCCACACUGGGACUGAGACACAGCCCAGACUCCUACGGGAGGCAGCAGUGGCGAAUCUUGCACAAUGGGCGAAAGCCUGAUGCAGCAACGCCGCGUGAGGGACGACGGCCUUCGGGUUGUAAACCUCUUUUAGCAGGGAAGAAGCGAAAGUGACGGUACCUGCAGAAAAAGCGCCGGCUAACUACGUGCCAGCCGCCGCAGUAA